AGAUACUCUGUCCACCGCCCACAGUUUGGAAGGCAUCUCCCCGGCGGGGGAAAUUGGAAACGACCCUCCUUUGAAGGUUAAUUGCCUCUUCGUCGACUGCGGAAGACAUGGAGAUCGAUUGAGAUAAUCGAGGUUCGAUUUGGUUUAAGGUAAUUUUGUUUCAAUUGCCUUGAUAAAAGUAAGAUGCUAUAAGAAUAAAAAUACUCAGAAAUAACAUUCUAACUCUCCUAAAAUAUUGAAGCUCGUUGGAGUUUUUAUUCUUGUUUUUCUUGUGAUUACAAUUAUUACAAUAUGUCAAAGCCAACAGCCUUUUAUAAUUAUACUUUUACUAAUAAUAAUUGAAUCACUCUAAAUAUUGGUCUCUGCAGUUGAGACCAAGAAAACACACCUGUUCCAAGAUGAAAACACACUUGUUGUUUCUUAGUUGUUACUUUGCCUCUUCAGUUUCACCUGCCCAAUCACUGUCUGUGUAUCUAAUCAACUCUGGCUUGGUAGAACUGGAGUGAAAAAUUCCUUCAUCAAUUGUUCCUUUGAUAUACCUCAAAAUUCUCUUUGCAACUUGCCAAUGUUAUUGUCUUGGUGAGUCCAUGAAUCUACUUAUGAGUCCAACUCCAUAAACUAUAUCAGGUCUUGUUGCUGUCAAAUACCUGAGUCUACCCACUAGAUCACCUCCACUUUCCCUUUCCAAUUUCAAUCUUUCUUCCAUUGGAGUUAACAUUGGUUUCAAUGAUUCCAUCUUAAAUUUCUUAAGAAUAUCAGCUACAUAUUUCUUCUGUGAAAUAAAAACCCCUCCACUGGUCUGCUUCACUUCAAUGCCUAGAAAAUACGACAUUAGGCCCAUAUCUGUCAUCUCAAACUGUGUGGACAUUGGCUCCUUUGAUCCGGAUGUUGAGAUGAACGGGUGUAGCUCUGUGUGUUUUGGGGUGAAGUCUGGUUUAGAGUCUUGUGAUUCUUGAGAUCUUUCUGAUGUCCCCGUGGAGGGUGAUGAAGAGUUUGGGCAUGUUGGGGAAGCUCUUGGAACUUGUGUUGCUUCUUUUGAUGAGGUGGGACUUGAGGAAACUUGUGGAUUUUCUUUGUUUGUGGAUCAUGACAUCCUCACUCGUCUUAAAGCUAUUCCAGCUCUAGGUGUGUCUUUUUCUCAUUUUCCUUUGCAGGGUCUUUGGAUGGAGCAGUUGAUUCCUGUCGGUGAUAAGAUUGCUGCCGAGACUAUGUCUUGCUCCAAUCAGACGGAUCUCCUUUUGACGGAUGGGAGCCUAGUUGUUGAGCCUAAGGUGGCACUUCACCCUACAGUUUUGGAUAACAUAGGGUUUUAGCUGAAGACAUCUGUUGGUGGGGUUGGUUAUCUGAGGCCUAGGGGAAGACCAAGAAAGUAUGAGAAGAGAGGUGGGGAGAAGAAGGAUCUUAUUGGGGUUGUCGGUGGUUCUUUGUUAGCUAAGGACUCGAGUUCGUUGGAAGGAAAUGGAAAUAAUCAGUUGAUGGUUUUACCAGCAGAGUUUUCAGAGCUUUUUGGUGUUAUGACUAGGGCAAGAAGUGCCCUUCUGAUGGAUAAAUAUCUAGGUAUGAGGUACGAUUGUAUAGAUGAGACUGCUUUGCUUCAAUUAGAGGCCCAUAUUCGUGCUCGCAGGACGCUGCCAUAGUGGUUGGUUUUCCCUUUUUAAUGUUGAUCCCGGUCCUUCCCGCAGAGGUUCUUUUUGGGCUGCCGUUUUUCGUUGUUUUACGUUGUUUGUUUUUAUGGUUGCUUAGCUGGUGGCGUUUGUUUUCACUUGGGGCCUUGAGUAUGUAGAAGUGUUUUUGGGGCAUUUGUGUUGUGCUUUUAUGUGGGUUUUUGAGGGGUCAGCUGUUCAUCUCG